GCAUAUCAAUAAGCGGAGGAAAAGAAACUAACAAGGAUUCCCCUAGUAACUGCGAGUGAAGCGGGAAAAGCUCAAAUUUAAAAUCUGGCGGUCUUUGGCCGUCCGAGUUGUAGUCUGGAGAAGCGUCUUCCGCGUUGGACCGUGUACAAGUCUCUUGGAACAGAGCGUCAUAGAGGGUGAGAAUCCCGUCUUUGACACGGACUACCAAUGCUUUGUGAUGCGCUCUCAAAGAGUCGCGUUGUUUGGGAAUGCAGCGCAAAAUGGGAGGUGAAUUCCUUCUAAAGCUAAAUAUUGGCGAGAGACCGAUAGCGAACAAGUACCGUGAGGGAAAGAUGAAAAGCACUUUGGAAAGAGAGUUAAACAGUACGUGAAAUUGCUAAAAGGGAAACGCUUGAAGUCAGUCGCGUCGUCCGGAACUCAGCUUUGCUUCGGCUUAGUGCACUUUCCGGUUGACGGGCCAGCAUCGAUUUUGACCGCUGGAAAAGGGCUGGAGGAAUGUGGCACCUUCGGGUGUGUUAUAGCCUUCAGUCGCAUACAGCGGUUGGGAUCGAGGAACGCAGCGCGCCUUAUGGCUGGGGUUCGCCCACAUUCGCGCUUAGGAUGCUGGCAUAAUGGCUUUAAACGACCCGUCUUGAAACACGGACC
rnacentral:rRNA from 2 species